rnacentral:rRNA from 1 species
CCUACGGGAGGCAGCAGUGAGGAAUAUUGGUCAAUGGACGAGAGUCUGAACCAGCCAAGUAGCGUGAAGGAUGACUGCCCUAUGGGUUGUAAACUUCUUUUAUAUGGGAAUAAAAUGUUCCACGUGUGGGAUUUUGUAUGUACCAUAUGAAUAAGGAUCGACUAACUCCGUGCCAGCAGCCGCGGUAAUACGGAGGAUCCGAGCGUUAUCCGGAUUUAUUGGGUUUAAAGGGAGCGUAGGUGGAUUGUUAAGUCAGGUGUGAAAGUUUGCGGCUCAACCGUAAAAUUGCAGUUGAAACUGGCAGUCUUGAGUACAGGAGAGGUGGGCGGAAUUCGUGGUGUAGCGGUGAAAUGCUUAGAUAUCACGAAGAACUCCGAUUGCGAAGGCAGUUCACUGGACUGCAACUGACACUGAGGCUCGAAAGUGUGGGUAUCAAACAGGAUUAGAUACCCUGGUAGUC